CGUUGGAAACAGUGGCUAAGACUGGAUAGGAAGAUAAAAGGCAUCUUUUAUCUUUUAAAAGACCUAGUAAUAGGUAUGCUUUAGGAGGGGCUUGCGCCAUAUUAGUUAGUUGGUAGGGUAAUGGCCUACCAAGACGAUGAUGUGUAGCUGGACUGAGAGGUUGAACAGCCACAUUGGGACUGAGACACGGCCCAAACUCCUACGGGAGGCAGCAGUAGGGAAUUUUCGGCAAUGGAGGAAACUCUGACCGAGCAACGCCGCGUGAAUGACGAAGUACUUCGGUAUGUAAAGUUCUUUUAUCAAGGAAGAAAAGCAAAUGGCGAACCAUUUGUUUGCCGGUACUUGAUGAAUAAGCCCCGGCUAAUUAUGUGCCAGCAGCCGCGGUAAGACAUAAGGGGCAAGUGUUAUCCGGAAUUAUUGGGCGUAAAGGGUGCGUAGGCGGUCUAGUAAGUCAGUGGUGUAAUGGCAACGCUUAACGUUGUCCGGCUAUUGAAACUGCUAAACUUGAGUUAGAUAGAGGCGAGUGGAAUUCCAUGUGUAGCGGUAAAAUGCGUAAAUAUAUGGAGGAACACCAGAGGCGUAGGCGGCUCGCUGGGUCUUAACUGACGCUGAGGCACGAAAGCGUGGGGAGCAAACAGGAUUAGAUACCCUGGUAGUCCACGCCGUAAACGAUGAGUACUAAGUGUCGGGUUAAACCGGUACUGAAGUUAACACAUUAAGUACUCCGCCUGAGUAGUACGUACGCAAGUAUGAAACUUAAAGGAAUUGACGGGACUCCGCACAAGCGGUGGAUCAUGUUGUUUAAUUCGAAGAUACCCGAAAAACCUUACCAGGUCUUGACAUGUUUUUGCAAAAUGAUAGUAAUAUCGUGGAGGUUACCAGAAACACAGGUGGUGCAUGGUUGUCGUCAGCUCGUGUCGUGAGAUGUUAGGUUAAGUCCUAAAACGAGCGAAACCCUUAUCGUUAGUUGCCAGCACGUUAUGGUGGGGACUUUAACGAGACUGCCAAUGAUAAAUUGGAGGAAGGUGAGGAUCACGUCAAAUCAGCAUGCCCCUUAUGACCUGGGCUACAAACGUGAUACAAUGGCUGUUACAAAGGGUAGCUGAAACGCAAGUUCUUGGCCAAUCCCCAAAAACAGUCCCAGUCCGGAUUGAAGUCUGCAACUCGACUUCAUGAAGUUGGAAUCGCUAGUAAUCGCGAAUCAGCAUGUCGCGGUGAAUACGUUCUCGGGGUUUGUACACACCGCCCGUC
rnacentral:rRNA from 1 species